AACAAGUCAUGGCAAUGCUUGGCAGGACAUGUGACUUGAAAGGUCCCUCUGGAACCGCUCAAAUCAAUGGACAGGAAGAAAGGAAGGAAAGAAUUUCCAGGUUAAGAAAUGCAGCAGGCUGAAGGAAACUUAGACCAGGAGACCACAGAAGCAACAAAUGUCUCUACUUGUGAAUCAAGUUGGCCGGAGUCUUCCCAUGGAUGAAGAUUCGACUAGCCUUUUUAUGCAUUGCAUACCAGAACAGUAUUCAACCGUGAAGAUAGAAGUGGAAGCUGACAGAAGGAAGAGCAAAUCUGCCUGGCACCUUUUCUCUGAGGAACUGAUAUGAUCUCACACAGAAAGAGUUCCCUUGGCAUACACAUAGCCAGUGGGUAGCCAUGAUAACUGGGGCCUUCAUGGUUGAAUGUGCCUCAAGUUGGAGUUUGUUUUAGUUUUUGGUCAUUUGCAUGGUGACCUUGAAUUUUCUGCCCAGUCCAGGAACUACUUUCUGAUUGUUACAAAUACACACUUUCUUUCAAGAUGGUCAUUGAAUCACUCUUAAUUUAUGUGAAUUUGUACUUAAUCAACUGUAUUUUCUGUAUUUUGUAGGGGGGUAGGAGGGUUAGUUACUAAUACUUUACUUAAAAAAGGAAAAGAAAUAAUCACCCUGAAAAACAAUAGUAUGUUUUCAUUUUAUUUGUAAUAAAUAGAAAGUAUUAAAAUUUAUUAUGAAUGCCAGGG
rnacentral:lncRNA from 1 species